GACGAACCGAGCGAACGUUGUUCGGAAUCACUGGGCUUAAAGGGCGCGUAGGCGGGUGCUCAAGUCCGUGGUGAAAUCCUCCGGCUCAACCGGAGAACUGCCUCGGAUACUGGGUGCCUCGAGGGUGGUAGGGGUAUGCGGAACUAUCGGUGGAGCGGUGAAAUGCGUUGAUAUCAAGUGGAACACCAGUGGCGAAGGCGAGUCCCUGGACAUUUCCUGACACUGAGGCACGAAAGCUAGGGGAGCAAACAGG
rnacentral:rRNA from 1 species